rnacentral:tRNA from 1 species
GAGGGUAUAGCUCAGUGGUGGAGCACAUGCUUAGCAUGCAUGAGGUCCUGGGUUCAUUCCCCAGUGCCUUCA